GGUACCUCCUGGCCCCUUCUCACCACCACCAGGGAAGGGCCCAGCACUUCUCACCUCACCCACCCCUUUUCCCCCCAGGGCCUUCUGCCCCACACACAGCCCAGAGCAGGCAGUGGAGGCGACUCCAGAGCUGGGCACUGAAUGCCUCAUCUGCUUGGAGCCUGUGGAGGACAGAAUGGCCUUCAACACCCUGGUGUGCCCAGCUUGCAGAACCGCCUGGUUCCACAGGGACUGCGUCCAAGGACAGGCUCUGCAUGCUGGUCUUUUAUCCCUCUGGUGCCCCCUCUGCAGAAAUGAUGACACAUUUCUCAGGGAUAUGUUCACCAUGGGGAUCCGAAUCCCCUUCAGGCCACCAUCAUGGGAGAGCAAUACUGCAUUCGCUGAGCCAGGAGACAGACACGGGCACUGCGAUGCCUUUGUCCAGGAGGCAGGCAGGAGG